rnacentral:rRNA from 1 species
UGAGUUGCGAACGGGUGAGUAACGCGUAGGUAACCUGCCUGGUAGCGGGGGAUAACUAUUGGAAACGAUAGCUAAUACCGCAUAACAGUAGAUAUUGCAUGAUAUCUGCUUGAAAGGUGCAAUUGCAUCACUACCAGAUGGACCUGCGUUGUAUUAGCUAGUUGGUGGGGUAACGGCUCACCAAGGCGACGAUACAUAGCCGACCUGAGAGGGUGAUCGGCCACACUGGGACUGAGACACGGCCCAGACUCCUACGGGAGGCAGCAGUAGGGAAUCUUCGGCAAUGGACGGAAGUCUGACCGAGCAACGCCGCGUGAGUGAAGAAGGUUUUCGGAUCGUAAAGCUCUGUUGUAAGAGAAGAACGAGUGUGAGAGUGGAAAGUUCACACUGUGACGGUAUCUUACCAGAAAGGGACGGCUAACUACGUGCCAGCAGCCGCGGUAAUACGUAGGUCCCGAGCGUUGUCCGGAUUUAUUGGGCGUAAAGCGAGCGCAGGCGGUUAGAUAAGUCUGAAGUUAAAGGCUGUGGCUUAACCAUAGUACGCUUUGGAAACUGUUUAACUUGAGUGCAAGAGGGGAGAGUGGAAUUCCAUGUGUAGCGGUGAAAUGCGUAGAUAUAUGGAGGAACACCGGUGGCGAAAGCGGCUCUCUGGCUUGUAACUGACGCUGAGGCUCGAAAGCGUGGGGAGCAAACAGGAUUAGAUANCCUGGUAGUCCACGCCGUAAACGAUGAGUGCUAGGUGUUAGACCC